UGGUAAAUUAAUCAUUAAUUUUUGUCACUUAUCAAAAUCAAGUACUUUUAAAAGUCUAUAUAUUUGAGACAAUUCUUAAGCAUUUUUCAUUAUCUUUUGAUUUUUGAGCACUAAAUCACAUAUUUUCAAUGGCCUCUACAAAAUUCUCCCUUCAGUCAAUUUUGCUGCUUUGUGUGGUUUUGUAUUCUCUUGUGAAUCUCCAUCAAUGUGAUGAAAGCACGAAACUUAAUGCAAACGAUGUAUGCGACCAACUUGUGGUUCCUGGUGAACCACCUCAUUGGUGUUGCACGUUGGACAAACCACUCAAUUGUGACUAUCUUUCUCUACAAAAUUGUCAAAAUAAUUGUCAUUAAUGAUAAAUUAUGUGACUUGUAUUAGUGAUUCUUCAUCAUUUCCAAGAGUUUAAUAAAAUGAUUUUGAAGUUUCAAUUUGAUUAAAAUGACUUAUAAUCUUUUGUGA